rnacentral:rRNA from 1 species
GACGAACGCUGGCGGCGUGCCUAAUACAUGCAAGUAGGACGCAGUUGCGAACGGGUGAGUAACGCGUAGGUAACUACCUAUUAGAGGGGGAUAACUAUGGGAAACGAUAGCUAAUACCGCAUACUAGUAGAUGGACCUGCGUUGUAUUAGCUAGUAGGUAGGGUAAUGGCCUACCUAGGCAACGGUACAUAGCCGACCUGAGAGGGUGAUCGGGCACACUGGGACUGAGACACCGCCCAGACUCCCACGGGAGGCAGGAGUAGGGAAUCUUCGGCAAUGGGGGGAAAGCUGAACGAGCAACGCCGGGGGAGUGGAGAAGGGUUUCGGAUCGUAAAGCUCUGUUGUUAAGGAAGCGGUACUUAACCAGAAAGGGACGGCUAACUACGUGCCAGCAGCCGCGGUAAUUC